UACGGAGGGGGCGAGCGUUAUUCGGAAUUAUUGGGCGUAAAGGGCGCGUAGGCGGCUUGAUAAGUCAAAGGUGAAAUCCCUCGGCUCAACUGAGGAACUGCCUUUGAAACUGUCGGGCUUGAGGCCGGGAGGGGGUAGCGGAAUUCCCAGUGUAGCGGUGAAAUGCGUAGAUACUGGGAGGAACACCGGUGGCGAAGGCGGCUACCUGGACCGGUUCUGACGCUGAGGCGCGAAAGCGUGGGUAGCAAACA
rnacentral:rRNA from 1 species